rnacentral:rRNA from 1 species
AGUGAACGCUGGCGGUAGGCCUAACACAUGCAAGUCGAACGGCAGCACACUAAGAGCUUGCUCUUACGGGUGGCGGGUGGCGUACGGGUGAGGAAUACAUCGGAAUCUACUUUUUCAUUGGGGAUAACGGAGGGAAACUUACGCUAAUACCUCAUACGACCUACGGGUGAAAGCAGGGGAUCUUCGGACCUUGCGCGAUUGAAUGAGCCGAUGUCGGAUUAGCUAGUUGGCGGGGUAAAGGCCCACCAAGGCGACGAUCCGUAGCUGGUCUGAGAGGACGAUCAGCCACACUGGAACUGAGACACGGCCCAGACUCCUACGGGAGGCAGCAGUGGGGAAUAUUGGACAAUGGGCGCAAGCCUGAUCCAGCCAUACCGCGUGGGGGAAGAAGGCCUUCGGGUUGUAAAGCCCUUUUGUUGGGAAAGAAAAGCAGCAGGUUAAUACCCCGCUGUUCUGACGGUACCCAAAGAAUAAGCACCGGCUAACUUCGUG